rnacentral:rRNA from 1 species
GAUGAACGCUGGCGGCGUGCCUAAUACAUGCAAGUCGAGCGAAUGGAUUAAGAGCUUGCUCUUAUGAAGUUAGCGGCGGACGGGUGAGUAACACGUGGGUAACCUGCCCAUAAGACUGGGAUAACUCCGGGAAACCGGGGCUAAUACCGGAUAACAUUUUGAACCGCAUGGUUCGAAAUUGAAAGGCGGCUUCGGCUGUCACUUAUGGAUGGACCCGCGUCGCAUUAGCUAGUUGGUGAGGUAACGGCUCACCAAGGCAACGAUGCGUAGCCGACCGGAGAGGGUGAUCGGCCACACGGGGACUGAGACACGGCCCAGACUCCUGCGGGAGGCAGCAGUAGGGAAUCUUCCGCAAUGGACGAAAGUCUGACGGGGCAACGCCGCGUGAGUGAUGAAGGCUUUCGGGUCGUAAAACUCUGUUGUUAGGGAAGAACAAGUGCUAGUUGAAUAAGCUGGCACCUUGACGGUACCUAACCAGAAAGCCACGGCUAACUACGUGCCAGCCGCCGCCGUAA